UACGGAGGGUGCAAGCGUUAUCCGGAUUCACUGGGUUUAAAGGGUGCGUAGGUGGCUAUAUAAGUCAGUGGUGAAGCUCGCGGCUCAACCGUGAAAUUGCCAUUGAAACUGCAUAGCUUGGAGUACAGUUGAAGUGGGCGGAAUACAUCAUGUAGCGGUGAAAUGCUUAGAUAUGAUGUAGAACACCGAUUGCGAAGGCAGCUCACUAAGCUGUAACUGACACUGAGGCACGAAAGCGUGGGUAGCGAACAGG
rnacentral:rRNA from 1 species